ensembl:lncRNA
CUUACACACAGAUCUCUGUCUCUUUGCGUUUAUGGGCUGCAAGAACUGUUGACGAUACGCUUCUAAAUUACUGGAGUCUAUUAUACACUGCAAAUAUCCCAUAAUGUGUUGUGGGUGUUUGAAUUGGCUUUGAAUGGAAACCCAAGCGUGACUCGGCUCGCCGCAGACUGCAGAGCUCAACGCCGCCUUAAACAAUGCCAUUCUCACCCUCGUAUGAGCCCAAACCUGUACGCUUUCCUUUCAUUCGUGGCACACAACAGGAGGUUUAGUGUUCUCCUUUUGUUUGUGUAGGCGCCCCAUAAACCUAAUGCCUGUUUCUCACUUAUGGGCUCUCUUCCAAAACCUGGUGCGCUGCCCACAUACUCCUGAUCCUGCUAAAGAAGAAGGAACGUCAUACAGGUUUGGAACAGCAUGAGGCAUCGCAUGGGAGACGGAUCACAUGAUCAUUAGUGUCUUCACUCUGAUUGCAUCAUCACUUAUUUGCAUAAGAGCAGAGUGAAAUGUCUCUGGGAUCAACACACGGCGAUCAGAUGCAUGAACCCCUGAGGACUGACGCGGGACACACACACGUCAAAGAGAAUAGCAAAGAGCAGCAUGAACAUUGUUGAACAGUGUUUCACUGAAGAACAUCAAGAAGGUGAGUGAAUGACGACUGAACUGCAGUGGGUUAAAAUAUAAGCAACUCAAUUUGAAAAAGUGUAUUUGCAAUAUGAAGCACAUGUAAAUGAACUACUGAAUAAGCGGAGAAUUACGGGUGUCAAAUUGGCUUCUCCUGCACUCAAAAUUCUUACAAAAAUUGGAGCAUGCCAAAUCUGCAGUGUAAUAAAGAAGUUGUGAGUUAUGAGAUGGUCUUUUGCAGGGCAUAAUGGGAGUUAAUCAAAUUUCCCGACUGUGGUUUCUACUGUGAUUGGUGUUGGCGUGGAGCAGACCUCGGGCGAUCCUUCAUUAUGAAAGUUCAGUGUCAUCAAACACUCUGGGUUUGGGUCAGAAGUUUCUCAGGUUUAAUUCGACACCGCAGAUGGAAGUCUGAGAGUCUGUAAUUGACAGUACAGAAAUAAAUGAACUUGAAAUGACUUAAUCUGUUAGCAAGAUGAUUUUUACCUUUUUCAAAGCUUCAUAAAAUAUGCUUUCACGCUGUGUUAUUGUUAGUAUUAUUUUCAACACUUUACAGUAAGGUUUAUUUUGGGAAAAUUAGCUACAUGUACAUUAAUUAACAUCAACUAACAAUGAAGACUACCAUCAUUAACAUUCAGCUCGUUAAGUUAAGUUACCUGCAGGAUUUGUUCACUAAUGGUCAGAAAAGAAGGUGAUUACUAAAAAUAGCAAUUCAAUGCUGUAUUAUAUUGUAUUAUUGUUAGUACAGUACUUUCAUUUUAGUUCACUACAUAUGUUUCCCUGAACUAAAAAAAAUGUGUUAAAAAUAGAUUGUUAGCUAAUGUUAAUAAUAAGUACCCUGAAUGCAGUGUAA